GGCAUGUGCGGAGGAGAAGUCCAGAUUCCCCGGUGAGGAGUUGUGAGCGGCUGGCGAUUGUCGGCGUUUGGCGAGGCAGAGGGAGGCCUAAGAAGUAUUGGGGAGAGGUGAUUAGGCAUGACAUGGCUAGAAUGCGGGUUUCCGAAAUCAUGACCCUUGAUAGGAAAGUCUGGAGGUCUAGUAUCAGGGUUGUAGGAUAGGGGCU
rnacentral:lncRNA from 1 species